rnacentral:lncRNA from 1 species
GCCUGUUGAUCGGAACACCUGGUUUUGCGUCGUUUACUUUUGCUACAGGUAAUUACCAAGUCCAUCUUUGGUCCACAUCAAAUACGGACCAUGUCAUUCUCAGGCUCACAUUUUUCUAUUUAGUUAGGCCAAUUCUUCGGAAUAUGACCUUUCUUCUCACCGCUAAACCGUGUGGAAUAUUCUAUUAAGUUAGGACGUGAACGUUGCUUCCACCCGCAAUCAUGUGAAUAACUUUUU